AUUGAACGCUGGCGGCAGGCCUAACACAUGCAAGUCGAACGGUAACAGGAAACAGCUUGCUGUUUCGCUGACGAGUGGCGGACGGGUGAGUAAUGUCUGGGAAACUGCCUGAUGGAGGGGGAUAACUACUGGAAACGGUAGCUAAUACGCAUAACGUCGCAAGACCAAAGAGGGGGACCUUCGGGCCUCUUGCCAUCGGAUGUGCCCAGAUGGGAUUAGCUAGUAGGUGGGGUAACGGCUCACCUAGGCGACGAUCCCUAGCUGGUCUGAGAGGAUGACCAGCCACACUGGAACUGAGACACGGUCCAGACUCCUACGGGAGGCAGCAGUGGGGAAUAUUGCACAAUGGGCGCAAGCCUGAUGCAGCCAUGCCGCGUGUAUGAAGAAGGCCUUCGGGUUGUAAAGUACUUUCAGCGGGGAGGAAGGGAGUAAA
rnacentral:rRNA from 1 species